rnacentral:rRNA from 1 species
CUAUGCGCCUUGCCAGCCCGCUCAGGUGUGCCAGCCGCCGCGGUAAUACGUAGGUGGCAAGCGUUGUCCGGAUUUAUUGGGCGUAAAGCGAGUGCAGGCGGUUCAAUAAGUCUGAUGUGAAAGCCUUCGGCUCAACCGGAGAAUUGCAUCAGAAACUGUUGAACUUGAGUGCAGAAGAGGAGAGUGGAACUCCAUGUGUAGCGGUGGAAUGCGUAGAUAUAUGGAAGAACACCAGUGGCGAAGGCGGCUCUCUGGUCUGCAACUGACGCUGAGGCUCGAAAGCAUGGUAGCGAACGGG